AGAGUUUGAUCAUGGCUCAGAACGAACGCUGGCGGCGUGCUUAACACAUGCAAGUCGCGUGCGCAGUCCCUGUAGCAAUACAGGGAUGGGCGCACGGCGCACGGGUGCGUAACACGUGGGCAAUCUGCCCUCCGAUGGGGAAUAACCCCGCGAAAGCGGGGCUAAUUCCGCAUAACAUUCCUUGGACUCACGUUCGAGGAUUCAAAGCAGCAAUGCGUCGGAGGAGGAGCCCGCGCCCGAUUAGCUAGUUGGUGAGGUAACGGCUCACCAAGGCAAUGAUCGGUAGCUGGUCUGAGAGGAUGGCCAGCCACACUGGAACUGAGACACGGUCCAGACUCCUACGGGAGGCAGCAGUGGGGAAUCUUGCACAAUGGGCGAAAGCCUGAUGCAGCGACGCCGCGUGGGGGAUGAAGCUUUUCGGAGUGUAAACCCCUUUCGCCUGGGACGAAUGCCCGCAAGGGAGUGACGGUACCAGGAUAAGAAGCCCCGGCUAACUACGUGCCAGCAGCCGCGGUAAGACGUAGGGGGCCAGCGUUGUUCGGAAUUACUGGGUGUAAAGGGUUCGUACGCGGUGCGGCAGUUGGGAGUGAAAUCUCUGGUGUCAACCCAGA
rnacentral:rRNA from 1 species